rnacentral:rRNA from 1 species
GGGGUGCUUGCACCCCUGAAGCCUAGCGGCGGACGGGUGAGUAACACGUAGGCAACCUGCCCUCAAGACUGGGAUAACUACCGGAAACGGUAGCUAAUACCGGAUAAUUUAUUUUGCGGCAUGGCAGAAUAAUGAAAGACGGAGCAAUCUGUCACUUGGGGAUGGGCCUGCGGCGCAUUAGCUAGUUGGUGGGGUAACGGCUCACCAAGGCGACGAUGCGUAGCCGACCUGAGAGGGUGAACGGCCACACUGGGACUGAGACACGGCCCAGACUCCUACGGGAGGCAGCAGUAGGGAAUCUUCCGCAAUGGGCGAAAGCCUGACGGAGCAACGCCGCGUGAGUGAUGAAGGUUUUCGGAUCGUAAAGCUCUGUUGCCAAGGAAGAACGUCUUCUAGAGUAACUGCUAGGAGAGUGACGGUACUUGAGAAGAAAGCCCCGGCUAACUACGUGCCAGCAGCCGCGGUAAUACGUAGGGGGCAAGCGUUGUCCGGAAUUAUUG